GGAGCAUCUGCUAGUGAAUGAGUUACACUGUGUCAGCUCUCCCACUGGGUGUCCACCCCAUGCUCUGGUGUUAUUAAUGUAAACGAGAAAAGGAGACUAGCAGAGUUGUUUACUGGCCAAGUCAGUGGGUAGAUAGGUCCUUUCAGCUCACAGAUUACAAAUCCUGAUUACAAGCCCCAAAUCACCUCCAUAACUCCCUCCUUGCAGGGACAGCUAAAUGCACACCAGUCCCCAUCUGCUAGGUACCAAAGCCACUGCUCUCUGCUGGGAAGAUGCCAGGGCAAGAUAGUGCUGAGACAGAAGACUACAUCUGGCCUCUGGGAAAGACACUGAACCCUUCAUUUGAAAUCACUGAAGUCCCAGGAAGUUCUUCAGAGAGGGCUGAGGUCUCGAUUUUACAUUCAGAAACAUUGACCAACUGACAGAUGCAAAGUAAAGAAGUCAACCCAAGAUUGGCAUUUAUCCAAGCAACAAGAACCAGCAGAGUCAGCUCUUCUGUAAAUUCCCCCAACGGCCAUGAUAUCACUUUCUAGAGUAUAGACAAUGGAAGGACUCGAGUGGCUUUCUAUCAGCAGUGGAUUCAUCAAAACCUUUUAGCAGAGCGUGGAGUGCUGGGUCCAUGGUUAAGAGCACUUGCUGUUCUUCUAGAGUCCAGUUCUCAGCACCCACGCCAGGCUGCUCACUACCACCUUGGCUCCAGGUCCAGUGUCUCACACCUCCAUGGAUACCCACACACACAUGUGCCUGUACCUCCUGAGCAUACACAUACGUGAUUAAAGAUAAAAUAAACC